UGGAGCCUCUAUGGUUCCGCCUCUUCCCUGCUGCUGCUCCAACCAUAGUGCCCUCCGCUGGCAGGGCUCAGUACGACAACCUGCAGACACGAAGAAGAAAUCAGGCCCUGAGUCUUAGAUUACAUCUGAGAGCGCAGGCUGAACCUGCACAAUGGAAACAUCAACCAUAAGAAUAGAAGGCCUAGCUGGAGCCAUUUGAUCUCAGACAUCUCAGAAGAAGUUUAGGGAUGCACUUUAAGUUUCAGGUAAGUUUUAGUUUUAUUUGUCUGUUAUGGAUUUGUUUUUGAUUGCUUGAAUAUAACUUCUGUCAUGUGCUUAUCAGUGGUGGCCAAUCAUCUAGGGAAGAAAGGCUAUUAAAACAUGUUAAACAUAAAUUCAUUAUAUAUUACGAAAUAACUAUGAAAUAAAAAAUGUUUAUUCAUA